GCAAGUCAUCACUAUGAUUGGGAAAGAAGCCAAAAUUAUAAUAAAAUGAAAACCUGUGCAUCAAAUCUGAAGGAUGAGUAUAAAAUAGGAUAAACAGUCUUAAAUGAAGAAAUUCAAAAAUAGGAAGCUGAAUUACUUCUCUGAGGAUGUCUUGUCACUAAAACAUGGAGAAUCCAACCUACCCUGCGUAGUUGUGGAAUCCCUCAGAUGACAGCAGUGAAGGUGAUCCCUAGGCAUGCUAAAGGCAGAGAAGCACUGGUCUAAACUGCAGACAUGGUUUUGGGGAUAUGAAGAAAGAAGAGAUAUCAGAGAUAUUUAGCAGAAUAAGGAUGAAGAUAGCACAUUCUCAUUGUCAUUAAGAUUAAAAUAAUCAAGAUGUAUGAACUGAGCACAGUAAGAUCAGAGACAUAAUAUGGACUCAGCAAUGCUGGCUGAUUUUGCGGGAUUAUUAAUGAAGAUGUUAAAUAAGAAGAAAGCAACAUCCUUCCCCAUGUACUGCAGUUGAAUUACUAAUCACUUCACGAAUGCUGAAGAAAGCAUUUUAAAAAAGUUUUUUCUGCAAUAUAUACAACCUACACUGAAAAAUCUUAAGCUAUAUGUACUUCAUUCAA
rnacentral:lncRNA from 10 species